rnacentral:rRNA from 1 species
UACGGAGGGAGCUAGCGUUGUUCGGAAUUACUGGGCGUAAAGCGCGCGUAGGCGGCCUUGCAAGUUAGAGGUGAAAGCCCGGAGCUCAACUCCGGAACUGCCUUUAAAACUGCAUAGCUUGAAUCCGGGAGAGGUGAGUGGAAUUCCGAGUGUAGAGGUGAAAUUCGUAGAUAUUAGGAAGAACACCAGUGGCGAAGGCGGCUCACUGGUCCGGUACUGACGCUGAGGUGCGAAAGCGUGGGGAGCAAACAGG